GCUCCCGGCAGCAACUGUAACUUUUGAUGCAGGAUUUUUCUUCUCGGUCACUUUGCAAACCGGGACCUCCGGCCAGCGAUGCCCCACCCGCGCCCUGCUCAGCCACGCUGGCAUGCCCCAGCUCGCCUGUGUUAUAGCUUCUAUCCGCGUUCGGCGGUUCCCAAGCUCUUGUACCCACGUUCGGCGGUUCCCAAGCUCUUGUACCCGCGUUCGGCAGUUCCCAAGCUCUUGUACCACGCCUGAGAAGAAUGAGGAUACGUUGGACAUUGAAGGGUGAAGAGGGCGGAGAAGAAUUUUAUUGAGCAAGGGAACAGCAAUUAGCGGAGAAGGGACUCUGGGGGGUGGUCGCCCACCCCCUUAGUCGGAUGGUUUUUUCCUCCCCUCGUGGCUGGGUCACGAGCUUUUUAUAGGCUUAGAAUAGGGGAGGGGCAGGUCAUAGGUAGUAUUGGAAAAGGCAACGCUUGAUCGGUUAAAACGCAUUAUUUAGAAAUAAUUAAUCAGGAAAGAGCGGGGGCAAAAAGGAACAGAAAUACUCAGCCUGUGUCGCGGGUUUCAUCUGGGACCAGCAGUUCAGUGUUUUUGGCUGGAAGGUGGGGUUUCACCCCAUCCUCCUGGGCAUUUAGCAGCCUCCAGCCGCUCUCACUUUCGUGUGCCAUGGACGAGAUGAUAAACUGAGAUUGUAGAGGAGUUGCAGUUCUUGGCAGUGACCAGGUCUAGAGAACGACCACUGAGGGGUUGCUUGCUCUGAUGGAAACGUUAUUCCUAGGCUUCAUUUCUGAAUAUGGAUGUCCCACUGCCAGCUUUGGGAAGCCUUCACCAUCUCUGCCUAUACAGAUGGACACACUCCCUGCCUGUGCUGCUGCUAGACUGUGCUUACACUUCCAUCACAGAAUUUAUUUGAUUGGGUUAUCAUGGCUUCUCUGCUGGAAUGGAAGCUACUUGGGAGCCUGGGGAAAUGCUUGGCUCAAAGCAGCCUAAGAUUGGACUUUUGAGAUGUCUUUUCAGACUUCUGCACUUCUGAUGGUUGGAUGACUCCACUGAGACCCAAGACUUAAGACUCACCUGGUCCUAUAGCCCCCACCCAGAAGUGGACUCAGCACAUAAGAACCAUUUUCUACAUCUCUAUGAUUGCACCCCUGACCAAUCAGCAGCACCCAUUCCCUAGCCCCCAGCCCACCUAACUAUCUUGAAAAAACUCUAGCCUCCAAAUUUUCAGGGAAUCUGAUUUGAGUAAUAAAAUCAACCCAUCUGUUAUUAUUA